UGAAGAACAGAAGACACAGAUCAGUUCAAGUGUGUUUGUGUUUACUGUCUGUUCUUCUGUUCACUGCUGUAAUAGUCAUCUGUGUCUAUUUCAACAAUGACAGAAACCAACUACUAACACAUAAUUAUAUCUUGACUGAAGAACGUGACCUGUUCAAAAACAAACUCAACGAUGCCUUAACAGAUUUGUGGUCCAGUAACUUUACAUGGAUUUACUACAACUUGAGUUUGUAUUACAUUUCAUCUGAUUAUAAGAGCUGGAGUGACAGCAGACGAGACUGUGAAGAGAGAGGAGCAGAUCUGCUGAUAAUAAACAACAAAGAGGAAGAAUUGUUUUUGCGUAAACGUACUGGUUUUAACAUAUGGAUUGGUCUGAGAAAAGAACAUGGAUUGUGGAAAUGGGUUGAUGGCACCACACUGACAUCUGACUACUGGAUAGAUGGACAUUCCCUAAAUUCUGAUUGUGCAGUCAUGACUGCAUUUGAGUGGAGUAUUGAUCUGUGUUAUAACGCAACUUAUAGAUGGAUAUGUGAAAGAAGAAUUGUUUAAAUCUCUCAUGAUAUGAUGAUGUUUAUUUAAAUAAAUGAUGUAGUCAUGUUUUUUUUUCAAUAUGGUAAUAAAUACAUUCUCUAAGGGUUGGUUUCCUUAACAGGGUUUAGAUUAGGCCUUAGUUCUAUUAGGACAUUCAAGUAGUUUUUACCAACAUACCUUACAAAAAACAACACUGAUGUGCAUCUUGAGACAAAACAACAGCACUCAUAUAUGGUAAGAUAUGUCCCUGCAAGCUGUUUUCAGUUCUAAGACAGCUCAACCAUGCAUUUAAAGCUUCCAUAACACAAGCUGUUUCUGCAUAUCUCUUGUUAAUCUUGAGUAUCUAUAGAGUAGUAUUACAUCCUUCAUAUCUCCAAAGAGUCUUUAGUUUGAUCAGAUUUGUAAAGGGCAGAUUAGCUGUAGCGAAUGUUUCCAGAAAAGCACAACCCCUAGGGGCGUGCCGUGGGAGGAGCUAUUCACGAGCAAGAAAAACUGGAAAACUUAUGAUUCACAACAUGUUGUGUCAUUUACAUUAUAUGCACUUACGCGCAAAUGUCCAACUUAACACAGAAGUCUACCGCCUGCAACUCAUGACCCAGUUGCGACUUUUCAACUAAAUCCAGCGUUAAACAAACACACAUCCAAAACUCCGCUGCUUCCCCAGAUAAACAAAAUAUAUCCAUUGUUUCCAUAUUGCUGGCUUCUCCUUACAUCCAAAAACACACUUCUUCUUUUGUGCCAUUGUUGAGUCUUGGUAUAAAACACAGCUGUCGGGUUCUCAGUUCUCGUUUGGGUGUGCUUUUCUGGGGGAAAUGCCCAUACAAGAAAUGAUACAUAAGGUGGACCCAUUAUCCGUAAGUUGUACCCAUGUUCGAAAAAUACUUUAUGAAACUUGUAUGAAUCCUGGCGAAUUGCAUUUGGCACGGAAACACUCUGUCACAUGUUCAACUGCUUUUUUGAAACUUCCCUUAUGUUUAGCAUGAGGAAACCAACUCUUAAAAUGCGUUAAUAAGUGAGAAUGCAUGAAAUACCUUAACCACACCCAAGUCUGGGACUAGGCUUAAAACCUUUCUGGGAAUCUGCCCCUAAGGGGGGGUUUCCCAGACAGAGAUUUUCUUAAACGAGGACUAGGCCUUAGUUUAAAUAGGAAAUAUAACUUGUUUGAACAAACAUGGCUUACUAAAAACAUUACUUGUGUGCAUUUUGGGGCAAAACAAAGGGCACUGAUGUAUUUUAAGAUAUGUCAGUGCAGGUUGUUAUCAGUUUGGACAGCUCUUACAUUUAUUUUAGUCAAGGACUAGUCUAAUCCCUGUCCGGGAAACCGCCCCUAAGAGUUUAUAUUUUAAGUUUUGACCAGAAAUGUCAGAUCCAUAACAUUGGAUUUGUCCAUCUAUAGUUUUAGGCCAGUAUAUGUUUAAUGUGAUUAUAAACUGUAGCUUAACAAACACACUAUAAAUCAAGUUGGGUAAAAAAUAGCUUUUGCAUUUACUAGUAUGUGUGUGGUGAGUUGCCAACUCUGAGCUCAUUGUGGUUUUAUUUGUUGCAUGCCAGUGGAUGUAAACUAAAAUAAACUGUGAAAUUGGCAAGUGGAAAAUAUAUCAAAAUAUUUUUAGAUUCAUGCAGACUGUAUAAUAUAUACUUUUUUUAAAUCUGUAUUUGUGAAAUAAGUUUUUGUCAAAUGUUGUUAUGAUUAAAGUUUGUGUCAGAUGAUCUCUAUCAGCUUUGGGAUCAGGGCUUGUGCAAAUUUAAGUUGAUUAUAAUCUUUAUUAUUUUUUACUGAAUAAAAAUACAAAUGCUUAACAUGAGAGUUCUCUUUUAUAGAUUUAUAGCAGCCUGUUUCUCUAGUAAUACAACAUUAGACUCUGAUUAUAACCAAUACUACAUUCCUACAUUUCCGUGGCUUUCUUUCUGAUAGGUUUUGAUACACUGCCCAUCAAAACAAUACCAAAUCGAUAAAUAAAUAUGUGAUUAUGUUAGGUGAUCAUAGU